rnacentral:rRNA from 1 species
CCUACGGGAGGCAGCAGUGGGGAAUAUUGCACAAUGGGGGAAACCCUGAUGCAGCGACGCCGCGUGAGCGAUGAAGUAUUUCGGUAUGUAAAGCUCUAUCAGCAGGGAAGAAAAUGACGGUACCUGACUAAGAAGCGCCGGCUAACUACGUGCCAGCAGCCGCGGUAAUACGUAGGGGGCAAGCGCUAUCCGGAUUUACUGGGGGUAAAGGGAGCGUAGACGGGGGUGCAAGGCAGAUGGGAAAGCCCGGGGGUCAAACCCGGGACUGCAUUUGGAACUGUGCUGCUAGAGUGUGGGAGAGGCAGGCGGAAUUCCUAGUGAAGCGGUGAAAUGCGUAGAUAUUAGGAGGAACACCAGUGGCGAAGGCGGCCUGCUGGACGAUGACUGACGUUGAGGCUCGAAAGCGUGGGGAGCAAACAGGAUUAGAUACCCCUGUAGUC